CUUGAAAAUUAUUUGGUCACACUUUAUGUUAGGUGGCCCUACUACUCUGUACUAACAUUAAAUACCUACAAGACUAUGGAUUUACUGUGUACUACCUACAUGUUGUUCUAGAAAAUUAUCGCAUU